rnacentral:tRNA from 1 species
GCCGCUGUAGCUCAGUUGGUAGAGCACCGCAUUCGUAAUGCGUAGGCCAGAGGUUCAAAUCCUCUCAGCGGCA